rnacentral:rRNA from 1 species
AUGGCCUCGCCUCUGCACCUCGCGUCCCGUCUCUGCCGCCCCGUUGCCGCUUCAUCCUCCGCCGUCCCCUGCGCGUUCGUCGCCUCCCAGCCGCCGCGGGCCAGCGCCACCGCCCGCCAGCCGGUCCCUCCUUCCUCGCGCCUCCCUCUCCAUCGCUGGAUCGCCCCACCUCUGCAUCUGGCCGCCACCAGCGAGCAGCUCUGCCGGAGCCAUGCCUACCUCACCGGACAGCCUCUGCCAUGGCCUUCCUCCAUCGCCGAGUUGCUACCCCUCCCCCACGCCACGACCACGCCCGCACCUUGCCUGUGA